rnacentral:rRNA from 1 species
UGAAGAUGCAGUGUACCCGCGGCAAGACGGAAAGACCCCGUGAACCUUUACUAUAGCUUGACACUGAACAUUGAGCCUUGAUGUGUAGGAUAGGUGGGAGGCUUUGAAGCGUGGACGCCAGUCUGCGUGGAGCCAACCUUGAAAUACCACCCUUUAAUGUUUGAUGUUCUAACGUUGGCCCCUAAUCGGGGUUGCGGACAGUGUCUGGUGGGUAGUUUGACUGGGGCGGUCUCCUCCCAAAGCGUAACGGAGGAGCACGAAGGUUAGCUAAUCCUGGUCGGACAUCAGGAGGUUAGUGCAAUGGCAUAAGCUAGCUUGAC